rnacentral:rRNA from 1 species
UAGAUUUUCAGCGAAGUUCCGAGAUUGGNCCAUGCCGAACUCAGAAGUGAAACGCCGUAGCGCCGAUGGUAGUGUGGGGUCUCCCCAUGCGAGAGUAGGACACUGCCAGGCA